rnacentral:rRNA from 1 species
GACGAACGCUGGCGGCGUGCUUAACACAUGCAAGUCGAACGCUGAAGCUCAGCUUUUGUUGGGUGGAUGAGUGGCGAACGGGUGAGUAACACGUGAGUAACCUGCCCCCUUCUUUGGGAUAACGCCCGGAAACGGGUGCUAAUACUGGAUAUUCACUGGUCUUCGCAUGGGGGUUGGUGGAAAGGGUUGUUCUGGUGGGGGAUGGGCUCGCGGCCUAUCAGCUUGUUGGUGGGGUGAUGGCCUACCAAGGCUUUGACGGGUAGCCGGCCUGGGAGGGUGACCGGUCACAUUGGGACUGAGAUACGGCCUAGGCUCCUACGGGGGGCAGCAGUGGGGAAUAUUGCACAAUGGGCGCAAGCCUGAUGCAGCGACGCCGCGUGAGGGAUGGAGGCCUUCGGGUUGUGAACCUCUUUCGCUCAUGGUCAAGCCGCAACAAUGGUUGUGGUGAGGGUAGUGGGUAAAGAAGCGCCGGCUAACUACGUG